GGAUCAUUAUCGUGGGGAUUCGUCCCUAUCGAGAUAGCACCCUUUGUCUAUGAGAACCUUCUGUUUCCUCGGCGGGUUACGCCCGCCAAUGGGGACCCUUUAAACCCUUUGCAGUAGCAGUAAACUUCUGAUAUAAAUAAAUAUUAAAACUUUCAACAACGGAUCUCUUGGUUCUGGCAUCGAUGAAGAACGCAGCGAAAUGCGAUAAGUAGUGUGAAUUGCAGAAUUCAGUGAAUCAUCGAAUCUUUGAACGCACAUUGCGCCCUUCGGUAUUCCGUAGGGCAUGCCUGUUCGAGCGUCAUUUAAACCUUCAAGCUCUGCUUGGUGUUGGGUGUCUGUCUCGCCUCCGUGCGUGGACUCGCCUUAAAAUCAUUGGCAGCCGGUAGUUUGGCUUCGUGCGCAGCAGAAUACGCGCGUGAGACUGGGCUGUCGGCUUUCCACAAGCCUCUUUUUAGUU
rnacentral:rRNA from 1 species